GACGAACGCUGGCGGCGUGCUUAACACAUGCAAGUCGAACGGAAAGGCCCUGCUUGUGUGGGGUGCUCGAGUGGCGAACGGGUGAGUAACACGGGAGUAACCUGCCCUUGACUUUGGGAUAACUUCAGGAAACUGGGUCUAAUACCGGAGAGGAGCGCCGGCUGCAUGGUGGGGGUUGGAAAGGUUCGGCGGUUGGGGAUGGACUCGCGCCUUAUCAGCUUGUUGGUGGGGUAGUGGCUUACCAAGGCGUUGACGGGUAGCCGGCCUGAGAGGGUGACCGGCCAUAUUGGGACUGAGAUACGGCCCAUACUCCUACGGGAGGCAGCAGUGGGGAAUAUUGCACAAUGGGCGGAAGCCUGAUGCAGCAACGCCGCGUGCGGGAUGACGGCCUUCGUGUUGUAACCCGCUUUCGCCUGUGACGAAGCGUGAGUGACGGUAAUGGGUAAAGAAGCACCGGCUAACUACGUG
rnacentral:rRNA from 1 species